GACUAGUGACAGAGUGAGAGAGGGGGUGACUAGUGACAGAGUGAGGGAUGGGGAAACUAGUGACAGUCACCCCCUCUUUCACUCUGUCACUAGUCACCCCCUCUCUCACUCUGUCACCAGUCAU